rnacentral:rRNA from 1 species
GACGAACGCUGGCGGCGUGCUUAACACAUGCAAGUCGAGCGAUGAAGUUUCUUCGGAAAUGGAUUAGCGGCGAACGGGUGAGGAACACGUGAAGAAUCUGCCCUCCACUUUGGGAUAACACAGGGAAACCUGUGCUAAUACCGAAUAUUGAAACAUAAGUGGCAUCACUGAGUUUUGAAAGAAUUUCGGUGGAGGAUGACUUCGCGGCCUAUCAGCUAGUUGGUGAGGUAAUGGCUCACCAAGGCAACGACGGGUAGCCGGCCUGAGAGGGCGAGCGGCCCCACUGGGACUGAGACACGGCCCGGACUCCUACGGGAGGCAGCAGUGGGGAAUAUUGGGCAAUGGAGGAAACUCUGACCCAGCGACGCCGCGUGCGGGAUGAAGGCCUUCGGGUUGUAAACCGCUUUCAGUAGGGAAGAAGCGAAAGUGACGGUACCUACAAAAGAAGCACCGGCUAACUAUGUGCCAGCAGCCGCGGUAA